rnacentral:tRNA from 1 species
CGGGGCGUGGCGCAGCCUGGUAGCGCACCUGCUUUGGGAGCAGGGGGCCGGAGGUUCAAAUCCUCUCGCCCCGA